rnacentral:rRNA from 1 species
AAUAUGGGACAAUGGGGGUAACCCUGAUCCAGCCAUGCCGCGUGUUUGAAGUAUGUCUUCUGAUUGUAAAUCACUUUAAGUUGGGAGGAAGGGCUUUAGGCUAAUACCCUGAAGUUUUGACGUUACCAACAGAAUAGGCAUCGGCUAACUCUGUGCUAGCAGCCGCGGUAAUACAUAGGGUGCAAGCGUUAAUCGGAAUUACUGGGCGUAAAGCGCGCGUAGGUGGUUCAGUAAGAUGGGUGUGAAAUCCCCGGGCUUAACCUGGGAACUGCUUUCAUAACUGCUGAGCUAGAGUACGGUAGAGGGUAGUGGAAUUUCCUGUGUAGCGGUGAAAUGCGUAGAUAUAGGAAGGAACACCAGUGGCGAAGGCGACUACCUGGACUGAUACUGACACUGAGGUGCGAAAGCGUGGGGAGCAAAC